rnacentral:rRNA from 1 species
UGGAUCCAGACUUUGAUUAUGGCUCAGGACGAACGCUGGCGGCGUGCUUAACACAUGCAAGUCGAACGGGGUGUUUAUUUCGGUAAACACCAAGUGGCGAACGGGUGAGUAACGCGUAAGCAAUCUACCUUCAAGAUGGGGACAACACUUCGAAAGGGGUGCUAAUACCGAAUGAAUGUAAGAGUAUCGCAUGAGACACUUACUAAAGGAGGCCUCUGACAUAAGCUUCUGCUUGAAGAUGAGCUCGCGUCUGAUUAGCUAGUUGGUGAGGGUAAAGGCCCACCAAGGCGACGAUCAGUAGCCGGUCUGAGAGGAUGAACGGCCACAUUGGGACUGAGACACGGCCCAGACUCCUACGGGAGGCAGCAGUGGGGAAUCUUCCGCAAUGGGCGAAAGCCUGACGGAGCAACGCCGCGUGAACGAUGAAGGUCUUAGGAUCGUAAAGUUCUGUUGUUAGGGACGAAGGGUAAGGAUCAUAAUAAGGUUUUUAUUUGACGGUACCUAACGAGGAAGCCACGGCUAACUACGUGCCAGCAGCCGCGGUAAUACGUAGGCGGCAAGCGUUGUCCGGACUUAUUGGGCGUAAAGGGAGCGCAGGCGGGAAACUAAGCGGAUCUUAAAAGUGCGGGGCUCAACCCCGUGAUGGGGUCCGAACUGGUUUUCUUGAGUGCAGGAGAGGAAAGCGGAAUUCCCAGUGUAGCGGUGAAAUGCGUAGAUAUUGGGAAGAACACCAGUGGCGAAGGCGGCUUUCUGGACUGUAACUGACGCUGAGGCUCGAAAGCUAGGGUAGCGAACGGGAUUAGAUACCCCGGUAGUCCUAGCCGUAAACGAUGGAUACUAGGUGUGGGAGGUAUCGACUCCUUCCGUGCCGGAGUUAACGCAAUAAGUAUCCCGCCUGGGGAGUACGGCCGCAAGGUUGCAACUCAAAUGAAUUGACGGA